AGAACGAACGCUGGCGGCAUGCCUAACACAUGCAAGUCGAACGAGACCUUCGGGUCUAGUGGCGCACGGGUGCGUAUCGCGUGGGAACCUGCCCUUAGGUUCGGAAUAACUCCUCGAAAGGGGUGCUAAUACCGGAUGAUGUCUUCGGACCAAAGAUUUAUCGCCUAUGGAUGGGCCCGCGUCGGAUUAGCUAGUUGGUGAGGUAAA
rnacentral:rRNA from 1 species